UGGACAAUCUCUCAAUAUUUAGCUUCCACCAUCUAAGAAGAUCAAAAUCCACCUUAUCAUCAACAAUAUUCUCACUCAAAUAAACCUGCAGCUCAAUUUGUUUACUGCUUCCACCACUCUCCAUUCUUUGUCUUUUCAAUUGGCUUUUCAACCUAGACUGUGGCCUACGAACUGUAGUUUUAAAUUGGAUAAGCUACACAUUCACAGGUUGAACAGGUUGGGCAGAGGAUUCAAAUUGCACAUUCAUAGAAUAUGUGGCUGCAUAUUCAUUGUACAACUCAACCAUUGCAGCUUGCACCUUUUCAAAACAAGCUUCCCCUUCCACUUCACCAUACAGUUGGACAAACUAGUGAGACAUAUAUUCAGCUUUAUCUUUAGGUCUAAAAUAUUGACAAAAAAUUAUCAAGAAGUUCAUUUUUUCAUGAUCCUCCAAUAUUUUUCAAACUUAUUUUUCAUUUGGGUCCCCAUUGCAUGUACACCAAAAUUCAACCCCAAUCAUGUCAUCCAACAUGCAAUUAAGAUCAGAGAUCUCAUUGAAAAAAGUGUUAAAUGUGACAUAAAGAGAACCAAAUAUUCUCACAGUCAUGUCAUAGAAACUUUUCAGCAAAGUUACUAAACUUUGCACAGAACACCAAUCAAGAUAAGAAGGCACAUAAUCA